AGCAGCCGCGGUAAUUCCAGCUCCAAUAGCGUAUAUUAAAGUUGUUGCAGUUAAAAAGCUCGUAGUUGAAUUUCGGGAUCAGUACGCUGGUCAUGCCUUUGGUAUGCACUGGUGUCACUGGUUUCUCCCUUCUGAAGAACCGUGAUGUCAUUAAUUUGGUGUCGCGGGGAAUCAGGACUGUUACUUUGAAAAAUUAGAGUGUUUAAAGCAGGCUCACGCUUGAAUACAUUAGCAUGGAAUAAUGAAAUAGGACGUUUGACCCUAUUUUGUUGGUUUCUAGGAUCGACGUAAUGAUUAAUAGGGAUAGUUGGGGCAUUAGUAUUCAAUUGUCAGAGGUGAAAUUCUUGGAUUUAUUGAAGACUAACUACUGCGAAAGCAUUUGCCAAGGAUGUUUUCAUUAAUCAAGAACGAAAGUUAGGGGAUCGAAGACGAUCAGAUACCGUCGUAGUCUUAACCAUAAAACUAUGUCCGACUAGGGAUCGGAUGAUGUUAAUUUAUAAUGACUCA
rnacentral:rRNA from 1 species